CACGUAGGGGGCAAGCGUUGUCCGGAUUCAUUGGGCGUAAAGAGCUCGUAGGCGGUUCGAUAAGUCGGGUGUGAAACCUCCAGGCUCAACCUGGAGACGCCACCCGAUACUGUCGUGACUAGAGUCCAGUAGGGGAGCGUGGAAUUCCUGGUGUAGCGGUGAAAUGCGCAGAUAUCAGGAGGAACACCAGUGGCGAAGGCGGCGCUCUGGGCUGGAACUGACGCUGAGGCACGAAAGCGUGGGGAGCAAACAGG
rnacentral:rRNA from 1 species